UGCAAGAAUCUGAAGUUAAUCCAAGUGCACCAGACAAACCCCAGCGCAGAAGAGAAAGAGAAAGAUCCCACAGAGGGGAGUGAAGAAAGCCAGUAGCUAGCUUUAUUUGUUGGCCCUCAAGCCCUGCAAGCUGGGAACCAAAACCUUCACAGUUUCUCCCCCUUCGUCUCUCUCCAAGCUCAAUCCCACAGCCAUGUCCAUGUCGAGAACCAGUUAAGCCCCUGCUAGGGUUUGCUCAGUUUGGGAAGGUGGGAUGGGGUUUCCCGCAGUGGGUGGUGAGUUUGCACCACAAAAAGUGCCUCCUUUGGGUGAUAUUUUAAUGCCUAUUUGCUUUUCAGUAAGGAAAUCCUCCUCCUCUUCCUCCUCCUCCAGGGCUAUAAAACUUCUACACCUCAACCUUAGUCCCUCAUCUUCUCCUCCACUUUCUCUUUACCUCUUUUUCUUCAGAGAUCAGGUGGCAUUGGGUUUGCAGAUCCAGUGGUGUUUCUUUGUAUCCAUGGGGAGAGUUUUAUGGGGCUUCAUUCUCGUUGAGAGGAAGAAGAGAUGACAAAGGGUUGUUCUCUCUACUCUCUUUCUUUCACCCAUGCAGAGAAGAAGAGGAGAUGUUGGGAAGAGUACAGGUGAAAUGGGUUGUGCCUGGCUCCCUGUAUGCCACACGUAUAGACCAAUCCUUGGAGUGAUUGGCUACUGUGGGUGGCGUGCAAGGAGCCAAGCAUGCCCCCUUCUCUCUCUCUCUCUCUCUCUCUCUCUCUCUCUCUCUCUCUCUCUCUAUGCAUGAUCUUGCAGUCAUUUUAUGUAAGAGAUCAUAUACUUUAAGUUUGAUCUCGAUGAAGGUUUCAUUCUUUUGCAGGUCUAGUCACCAACCUCACGACGGAGAGAGAGAGAGAGAGAGAGAGAGAGAGAGAGAGAGAGAGAGAGAGAGAGUCUAAGAAAGUGGGUCUCAGUUUCUUGCAUUACAUGAACAUGGAUGAAACCAAGGAAUCCACGACAUGGAUUUGGAUCCAGCAGCCUUGACAGUAAGGAUGCCAUCAUAUCUUCUCUUUGCUUACGUUGUGUGCUGGUCUGCACUAUGGAUUCCGUUCUUAUGCUUAGUCCAUUCUGUCUGCUAGAUCUCAGAUGUGUCAGUCCCUCCAAGUAGUCUUUCACUUCUACGGAUCUCCUUAAAGAACAACAACAUGAUCACGAGCAAGAAUGCUCUGUAACAUCUCAAAUCUCUCCCUUCUCUUUCUGGUCUUUCUGCUGAACUUGCUCAAAUGACGUCCGCAUCAUUCGCUGCAAGAGUUGGGAGCUCCCAUCUCCUCUCAUGCAGUCAGUUGAUCAUCACACCGACAUCUCCUACAGCCAGUGAUAUCAACAACAGCUUCGCUGUUCUCAACAACUCCUCCAUCCUACAACGAAGCCACAAUCGAGUUCAACGAUCAAACACGAGUUCAAAGCUCAAUUUGACGCCUCAAUCUGAAACCAUUCCGUUCCAAGUCUCUCUUCAGGUGUUCUUCGAGUGGUCUACUGCUGUUCGUUCUCUCUCAUUAUCUCUUGCAUGGUGGAGCACAGCAGCUCCCUCCGCUGGGUUGGAGGGGCUCCUAUACCACCAUACUUUUAUGCCUUGCUUUUGUUGGUGGCAGUGCAAGCAAGAAGAGAGCCCAAGUGUUUUGGCUCAGAGGGUUGCCAGCUUUCUACCCUUCCGAGGUCUGAGCAGCUUUGUGUGACAUCCAAAGGGAAUUUUCAAGGUUAGGGAAGGAAGCCCAUCCGUCAUCAAGUACUCCGAAACCCUAUUUCCCUGUCUCCAAGACAUACAUGUAAUAUAAUAUACACAACACACACACACACACACAUCUCCAUCACACGGUCUCUUCCUUCUUCUUCUUCUUGCUAAUCGAUCUGUCAUACUGCGAUUCUGCUCGUUCCCUCCACAUGCUUACACCAAAGCUUACAUACAAAUGGUGCAGAGAGAAUGGAGCAGCUCGACUGGACUACUCUCCUCAACUUGAGGUCACAUGCACAUCUUAAAGCACCGAGGAUCUCCAUGGACAGGGACUUCUCCUGCAGGAUCCAAGAUCUGAGGUCAAUAAUGUUCUGAUGAUGCAGUACAAGCUCCUCAGAUGGAAUAUAUUCCACAUGAUGCUUGAGGCUGUGAUGUACUUAGGAAGAUGCACAAGCAUUCUAUGAGUGUAACUACAUCAACAUGUAGAUUUCUCGGAAGAGGUCCAGCCGAGACCGUGUGAAGAUGAACAGAAAAACAUCAGUCAUCAAAGCAUCCUAAAGAAUUUUGGGAUAGCAUUUCGAUGCAUACCUUACAGCCGAUAUCACCUGAUUAAUCUAAUCUUAGAUUCUUUGUCA